rnacentral:rRNA from 1 species
AUUGAACGCUGGCGGCAAGCCUAACACAUGCAAGUCGAACGAGUGGCGGACGGGUGAGUAAUGGCUGGGAAACUGCCUGAUGGAGGGGGAUAACUACGGGAAACGGUAGAUAAUACCGCAUACAAUCGGAAGUGCCCAGAUGGGAUUGGCUAGUAGGUGGGGUAACGGUUCACCUAGGCGACGAACCCUAGCUGGUCUGAGAGGAUGACCAGCCACACUGUAUCUUACGCACGGUCCGUACUCCUACGGUAGGCUGCAGUGGGGAAGAUGUCACUGUGGGCGCAGGCCUUGUGCAGCCAUGCCGCGUGUAUGAAGAAGGCCUUCGUGUUGUAAAGUACUUGCAGCUGGGAGGCAUUACCCGCAGAAUAAGCACCUGCUAACUCCGUGCCAGCAGCCGCGGUAAUUC